rnacentral:rRNA from 1 species
AUACGUAGGGUGCGAGCGUUGUCCGGAAUUACUGGGCGUAAAGAGCUCGUAGGUGGUUUGUCGCGUCGUCUGUGAAAUUCCGGGGCUUAACUCCGGGCGUGCAGGCGAUACGGGCAUAACUUGAGUACUGUAGGGGAGACUGGAAUUCCUGGUGUAGCGGUGAAAUGCGCAGAUAUCAGGAGGAACACCGGUGGCGAAGGCGGGUCUCUGGGCAGUAACGGACGCUGAGGGGCGAAAGCAUGGGUAGCGAACAGGAUUAGAUACCCUGGUAGUCCAUGCCGUAAACGGUGGGCGCUAGGUGUAGGGGUCUUCCACGACUUCUGUGCCGUAGCUAACGCAUUAAGCGCCCCGCCUGGGGAGUACGGCCGCAAGGCUAAAACUCAAAUGAAUUGACGGGG